rnacentral:tRNA from 1 species
GCCUGGCUGGCUCAGUUGGAGGAGCAUGUGUCUCCUGAUCUCCGGUCAUGAGUUCAAGUCCCAUGUUGGGUG